rnacentral:lncRNA from 1 species
UCACAAAGGGCUAAUCUCGGGCCUUGUCGAAGGAAGAGGCUGCAGACGUUAAUGAGGUUAGCUGCUGGAUUCCAGUAUUCGUCGCAUAAGGAUCCUUCUUUGUCUGCGAAGGAAAAACACACUGAUUAUCAUAAUGAGUUCCUGACCUGGCCAUCCCGGGGUGCCCUUGACCAGCCCCGUGUCUCCUCAGGGUGUCCCAGCACCAGCCUGGCACAGAGUGGGGCUCAGUUAGAGUAUGUGGGAUGUUGGUUUCGCCAGGUGAGUGAAUGAAAGGACUCGACCACCACAGCUGAGCCACUAGCUGGGCCAUGCGAAGAGUUCUAGGUGCAAAGGCUGGAGGGUGGAAUUCAUUUUUGAGAGGUGUGUGAGCAGCUUCCGACCCCUGCCCCAUUUGAACGGGGGCCUUGCUGGUCGCGUCCCUGCAUUCACCCGCGCGGCCAUCCCGUCAUCCAACAGUUGAUCCUAACUGAGCACGCCCACGGCCCUGGUCUGGCCUGGGCACCGGCCACCGUAGCCCAUCCCUUGAUGGCCUCUGUGUCCCCAGGAGGGCGGGCCGGGGGGUUGCCCAGGGGCUGGAGCAGUGGACUGUGGCUCCAUAGAGGUAGGCCGGAGGGUGUGAGGGCAGAUUCAAGCUAUCCCCAGGGCUCUGCUCUGGUCGGAGCCAGCCCCUUCUCCCUCUCUGCCUUCCCCGCCCCAUUCCUGAUGCUGAACUGUUCUGGACCCCUGGCCCUGAGUCUCUCAGGACCAAAGUGGGCACGGGAACAGCUGUAGUGUGUGCCCCCCCGGGCUUUGGCCACAGGUCUCCCUCUCGAGGUGUGGUUGUGACUGCGACCCUUCCCUUGCCGUGAUGCCUUCCUCCCCCGGGGCUUGGUCCAGCUCCUUCACUCUCUAGCAGCUGCUGGGGCCCACCUCCCAUGCCGAGGACCAGCAGGGGAAACCUCCAGGGAGCAUCUGCAGGCUCUGCUUCUGCCCGGCUGCUGGCUUGCUCUCCCUGGUGGCUCUCCAGCGGCCAGCUUCCUCACCCACCCGGCACUCCGCUUUGCUCUGUCUCCUGAGGUUCCCAGUGCCCCCGACAAGCCCCUGCUGGUGUCUCCAUCUCCUGCCAAGCAUCCUCCAGUGCCUCCUCCUGUGGGCCUGGCCUCAGGGCUAUGGACAGACUCCUGUCCCAUCCCAGAGACCCCUCGUGAUCGUGCCCUGGCACGUGGGCCGUGGCCCGGCUGGGUCGGCUGAAGAACUGCGGAUGGAAGCUGCGGAAGAGGCCCUGAUGGGGCCCACCAUCCCGG